rnacentral:rRNA from 1 species
UACGUAGGCAGCAAGCGUUGUUCGGAAUUACUGGGCGUAAAGAGCUCGUAGGCGGCUUGUCGCGUCGAAUGUGAAAUCUCAGGGCUCAACUCUGACAUUGCAUUCGAUACGGGCAGGCUAGAGUUCGGUAGGGGAGACUGGAAUUCCUGGUGUAGCGGUGAAAUGCGCAGAUAUCAGGAGGAACACCGGUGGCGAAGGCGGGUCUCUGGGCCGAUACUGACGCUGAGGAGCGAAAGCGUGGGGAGCGAACAGG